rnacentral:tRNA from 1 species
GCGGAAGUAGUUCAGUGGUAGAAUACAACCUUGCCAAGGUUGGGUCGCGGGUUCGAAUCCCGUCUUCCGCUCCA